AAUUUAAACAGGUUCUAAGUGGCAAAACAACCAAUGGUGAUGAUAGCUUAUUUGCCUAGUUGCAAAUGCUAACAAGCUCAUCUUGGAAGGCAUACCGCCAAUAUCUUCGUGUUUUACAGGACUAAGCAGGAUUACAGGCAACAUGCAGGGAAGUGGCAAGACAUUUAAAUUCUCAACAAAAUAGUAGGUUUCAAUGUUCAUGGGCAAGUCACUGGUAAAAAACUAAAGUAAGGCACAAUUCAGAAUCUUAGUUUUUCUGAGUGACACAUUCGUUCACAGUAAUAUUAAAGUAGAGUAAUGUUUACUUUCACAUUUUAUACCAGAU